CCGAUAUACCUCAAGGAGUUGCGCGAGAGCUCCCAUGAUUGUGAGCCCCAUUCCACGAUUCGAUAAGAUUGCUGGAUGUGCCUUCAUGUAUCUUUGUUGCUCUCCUGUGGUUAGUCGUGGACAUACCACUCUACACGGUGAUCGCGCUGGUCAAGAGCCCCUACAUGCUCUUCGGAGGCUGGCAGAGGCUGCUGUACGACCUCAUCAGCCGCGAAGGCCCGUUCCUUGAAACAGUUUGUGUGCCGAUCGCUGGCCUGACCAUCCUUUUCUGGCCGCUGGUGGUGGUUGGCAGCGUUUUGUUGGCUAUUGUCUUGAGCAUUUUCGUGGGCCUCUACGGCACAGUCAUUGUCUUCCAGAAGAAAUCAUUUCAAAGGGGAGUUUCUUAUGUUGUGGCCAAUGUUGCAGAGUUCAAUGAGUACACCAAUGAGUUUCUUAUUUUUUGCAGAAUUUAAAUGUUUUAGUAGUCGUUCGAUUCAAUGUAUUCCAACUUUACUUUGUUAUAUCAAUUUUAAAUCUCACGUUAUGUAUAAA